GUUACGGUNCUGGCGGAGUUGGCAUCCCUCUGUACAGUAAGUGAACGGGCAAAGGUCCAGCGGCGCAUGGCUUUCAUGACCCCCUCAGAGCACCCUUCCCCCAGCUUACUCAGGCCCCCUCGGUGGCAGACUCUGCCCCAUUCAGGGGGAAGCGGUGUGGGUAGGGGCAAACGGAAGCUCCUCCGCUGCCCCCAACUCAGCGCCCUCCACGGCUCCAAGACCUGGAGAUAAUUCCAAACACUUUAUGCUACCGGCUGNGCCGGGGCGGCAUUCCCCCCCGCUUAAGAAACAGUCACCUGUGAGGGUGGGCAGCUGAGCACGUGAACUCAGUCCACCAAGGGGAAGUGAGGGGGCUUUGAGCUCACACCAGCUGCAAAGGUCCCUUUUGCCCGUCCUGCAAGGACCACCAGGUGUGAAGAGACCUUGCAACUUGCCUGCCAUCUUGUAUGAGCUUUAACCUUCCCUCUUCCUCUCUCGCCUGUCCUUCCUCCCUAUAGUGAACGGCCCUGGCUUUGGAUUGUCUCCCAUUUACCCAGGUAUGUUGAGACCUUGUCUGGGGAAUGACUGGGGCACAGAGGGGAAAAAGAAGGGAGUGGAGAACAAAGAGAUGUCCAUGAGCCUGGCAGGGCCUUCACUGAGUGGCCCCAUCAUCUACAUUUCCAUUUGUAGCCUGCUGCUGCAUGGCACAGGCAUCCAUGUUGUAGGAACAAUGGCCAAAUAAUCCCCUUUGCUUUGGGGCAGGAUCUCAUAUGGACUGCCUGGCAAGGUUGGCUCCAGGGCAGAGGGUAACAAAGUCUUUUCUCUGGUUUGCUUUUGGCUUGCAGGUGGUGUCCCCGGGCAGCCAGCCUAUGGCGGGAAACCUCCCAANCCCUAUGGCAUCUUGGGCUACAGAGGGGUGGGCCGCAAGAAGAAGUAGCCCCGACAGAUGGCACAGCGAUCACCUCAUGAACUUUGGUGCUACUGCGUGGUCUCGAAUGUACCCCUGCUUCGCCCCGCCCUGGGAAGAGCAGACGCCACCAGCUUCACGACCGCCCUGUGUCUUGCCCCACGCACCCCCUCCCCCCCGCCCCCCCUCUUCUGGUGCUACAGCCGUCCUUCCUUCGGGAUCACACCCAGCCACCCCCCUACCCCCUGGGGGCUUUGGUGCUGCAGCCGAGGGGGGCUGCUUCUGAGAGGGGGCUGCCAAGCACUUUAACCAGGCCUGUGUCCCGUGCCCACCCACGCGGAUCGGCUGCCAAGGCCAGUUUGCCCCGCUCGCUUCCCGGCCUAACUACGCAGCCCCCCCCGCCCCCCCCGGGGCCUCCUAAGCGCCGUGCCGGAGCCGCCGUCUCCUCCCUCCACACACACCCCGCCAGGACCAGGGGGAUUAACCUGGAUUCCGCAGCUGCCGGGUCCUAAACCGGAUUAGCCAGCCAGGCUGCACUCGGCAUCCCCGAUCCGGACCCCGGCGGCGCCUCCUCGCUCCGAACCGCACAGAGAGGUUGUCCAGGAAGGUCCGGCCCGAACCCGCGCCACGUUUCCGAUGUUUAAUCACUUCCGUGUAACUGGGAUGGGACACUUUUUAUAAAGAAGAAAACAGUAACUGCUUUCCAAAAAUAAGAUAAAAUUAAACAUGACUAAUAAAUAACUUUUUAAAGGAGAAANCUCUCUCUCU
rnacentral:lncRNA from 1 species